rnacentral:tRNA from 1 species
GGGGAAUUAGCUCAGGUGGGAGAGCGCCGGCUUUGCAAGCCGGAGGUCACCGGUUCGAACCCGGUAUUCUCCA